UACGUAGGGUGCAAGCGUCGUCCGGAAUUAUUGGGCGUAAAGAGCUCGUAGGCGGUCUGUCACGUCGGCUGUGAAAACCCGAGGCUCAACCUCGGGCCUGCAGUCGAUACGGGCAAACUUGAGUACUGCAGGGGAGACUGGAAUUCCUGGUGUAGCGGUGAAAUGCGUAGAUAUCUGGAGGAACAUCGGUGGCGAAGGCGGCAUCCUGGACCGGUAUUGACGCUGAGGCGCGAAAGCCAGGGGAGCAAACAGG
rnacentral:rRNA from 1 species